AUGAGAAAUUGGCGUGUAUUGUCGGACUUAUGUUGCUUUGUCAUGUAGGUUCUGGAUCGAGGUGAGAAAGUUGAGCUUUUGCUCGACAAGACGGAGAAUCUUCGAUCUCAGGCGCAAGAUUUCCGGCAGCAGGCAACCCAAAUCAGAAGGAGGAUGUGGCUGCAAAACAUGAAAAUAAAGCCGAUAGUUCUUGGCAUUGUCGUCGCUUUGAUUGUGAUCAUAGUCCUGUCCAUCAUUUGCGGUGCCUUCAGGUGUGGUGGCAAAUAAUGGAGUGAUUGUAGAUUUGAUAUUCUUUAAAACCUCUAUAAGUUUUUUCUUUCUAUACACACAAGUCCUCAUUUUUCCUGUAGGAUAAUGGAAUAAAUUGGUUGUAUAGCUCUGUAUGCUUGGAAGCGUUCUCUGAUCCACCUGCACAACAUUGUGACAUCAAUAGUACUGAUUCGAAUUAAACCUGA